ACUCUAGUGGCAAAACUGCUGGCUAGUGUACCUGUUCUGCCAAAAGUAAAAUGGGCUUACUGAGGAAAUUAAAUUUAUGUUCAAGUGCUAUUUCUUUAUGCACCGGGGAACAAGCAUUUCUAACAACCUGGUCCUACGUGGCUGAAACUGGAUCCCAGAAGCCCCGUCCUUCCCGAAGCUCGUAGCGGAAGUGACAUCAGCCCGCCGCCACUAUCUUUUCCCGCGCUGGCUGCCCACGGACUUCAAAUAACCCUGUACAAAGAGGAAUGGAGAUUGCCUCUAUUCACCUAGAUUCAUAAGUUGCCCUGAGGCAAUCUUGGCAUCAAGGAAGAGAGCAUUGAGGCACAACUGACCAUCAGCUUCAGAGAAUGGCAGUCACUGAUUUGUCCCAUGACAAGAAGCUACAGUGGAUGGAAACUCUGAGAAUUGUGGAGAGGUCUUCAGUGAAUGGUUUUGCCUUAAAACACACAUGAGAGCUCAGAAUGGAGGGAACAUCUUUGAGGGUAAUUGUUAUGGAAAAGACAUCCUCAGUGUGCACAAGGAAGCCUCUAUUGGACAGGAACUUUCCAAAUUUAAUCCAUGUGGAAAAGUCUUCACCUUAACUCCAGAUCUUGCUGCACAUCUUGGAAUUCUCAAUGCAAGACAACCAUACAAAUGUAAGGAAUGUAGAAAAGGCUUUAAGUAUUUUGCAAGCCUUGAUAAUCACAUGGGAAUCCACAUUGGAGAGAAAUUCUGUGAAUUUCAGGAAUGUAGGAGAGCCAUCACUCAUUCCUCACACCUAAAGCAGUGUGUAACAGUUCAUACUGGAAAGAAAUCUAAAAAGACUAAGAAACAUGGGAAAUCCUUCACUAAUUUUUCUCAACUUUCUGCACAUGUGAAAAUUCAUAAAGGAGAGAAGUCCUUUGAAUGUAAAGAAUGUGGAAGAUCCUUUAGAAAUUCCUCAUCCUUUAAUGUUCACAUUCAAAUUCACACUGGAAUAAAACCACACAAAUAUACGGAAUGUGGGAAAGCCUUCACUAGGUCAACUCACCUUACUCAACAUGUAAGAACUCACACUGGAAUAAAACCCUAUGAAUGUAA
rnacentral:lncRNA from 1 species